GACAACUUAUUUUACUGCUAUUAAUGAUUUCAAUUACUAAGUUUGUGCAAGCCUAAUUUCUUCCUGCUUCCCCCACUCCCUCCUCCUGCUCCCACCCAGGCAAGUUCCCACACACUGGGUCUGAAUUAGGAUGUUUGGGGCUGGUCUGGAACUGCAUUGUUGGGAAUCCCUGGCACACAGAUUAACAUUUUCCCUUGGCUUAUUUCUUGGUUGUCUUGCUGAAAUACAGGUCCUGGGUGCCUCUUAAUCAGCUAGAAUCAAACUCCAGGGGCUGGUGGGCUUCUUACUGCAGAUAUACUCUCCUCUGGAGUCUUCUAAAUCACUUGGCUGCAAGGAUCUAUUCCUUCCCCUCUCCUGUGCCAAGGCCUUUCUGGUACUGUCUUGUAUCCCUGGUCCACCUUCCAGGCUGGGUGGGGUGGGGUGGGCCAGGCUACUAUCAAGUCAUCAGAGGCAUUGUUAUGCAGUUUAGAAAAAGGAGUCCCUUCCUCCAGACAGACGCGGUCACACACGAGGGUGGGUUUCAGCUCCCACUUGUUUUUUUGGUCAGGUUCCCCAAGAAACAGACUCGGGAUUUGCAUGCAGGAGUCUUAUUGGGGAACGCUUUCAGGAACUACCACCCCGUAUGGGAGCGAGAGAAGCAGGACUGUGCAGAAGGAGAAGUUGAACAACUCCUGGAAAGCUCUGAAGCUGGGAUCAUCCUUCCAGAAUGUCUUGGAUUGAGACAAGGGUACUUUAAUCAGCAUUUAAUGACCCAGUCGAAAAUUCAUUGUUUGGACCCAAGCACUGGUGGGAAAGGCAGGAGGGGAGGCCUGCCUUCCUUCCUCCCUCCCGAGCCCUACAGCAGGCCAUGGAGUGGUGAGCGAGUUCGUACAGUGCCAACCACAUUCCCAGAAACUUCCAGCAGAGGUUAAUCCUGCUCCUCUCAGGUGGGCUUGGCCCAUUCUCUAGACUUUGGAAGGUAAUGUUCUAUAGAGGCCUGUUCUGAAGCUUUACCAGGUCAAACCGGAGAAGAACCCAACAAGUAACUCAUCCCAGCCUAACUAUUCUUCAAGGGCAAUCAACCUACAGCAUCCAAGCACAGAGAAAUCAAAUCCAUGGAGAAUCUUCAAAUUAGGCUCAGAAUCCAUUUGGGUCAAUGAAUUUACUGUUAUUAAGAUCUUAGUUGUGUUCAACCAUGAUUUGACAUACCUUAGAGUGAGAAGAUAUUCUUCCUGGCCUCAGACUAGUUGAAGGUAGAGAGAGAGACAGGCCCUUGGGUGUGGGGAGACCUCUCCUGGGAUAAUACACACAAAAAACCAAGAGCUGCUCACUGUGGUGCAGGAGACAGCAGGGCCUGAAGCCAGAGGCUCUGUGUCCUUGAAUACAAUGUUUUACUCCUCUGACCCCUGUUACUGUGAUUUGGAGAGGCAGACAAUAUAGGAUGGGCUUUGCAGGCAGGGAGGUCCAGUUAUAAUCCCAGCUCUUACUAAGUUGGGUAAGACUCACUCUGAGACUUAGUUUCUUCUGUCAUCUCUCAAUAGAAUCAUAAAGGUACUUUCCUCUUAGUGUUGUUUUAAAAUUCAGUAAAAUAAUGCAGGCUUAGCACAGGGUCUGAUGUAAAUUUUCAAUGAAUUAUCGUUGUCAAUAUUGUUCUGGAAAACAAGAGGGCAUAUUAGAAGAUCAAAAGUACUGCCAAGCAUUGAAGUGCCAAUUCUAGAUCCAGUCUCAGCCCUCUGAGAAUGGAUAUCAUUGUUUUCAAGCCAUUCAGAAACCAAUGUGAAUUGAACACCUAGUAUGAGCUCUCUGAGGGAAGAGCCAAGUCAUGCAUUUUUUAUCUUAAGGGGUCUUCAAUACCUCUAGCCCAAAACAGUAUCUCCAUCAGGAUUCUUCUCUGAUAGUGUUCAUUUCUUUUUUCUCAAUGGAUGCCUUAAAAAAAAAAUCCUACAAGGAAACCUGUACUCCUCAAAUACACCACUCAGGUGACCAUUAAAUCAUUUACAUUGU
rnacentral:lncRNA from 1 species